AUUGAACGCUGGCGGCAGGCCUAACACAUGCAAGUCGAACGAGUGGCGGACGGGUGAGUAAUGUCUGGGAAACUGCCCGAUGGAGGGGGAUAACUACUGGAAACGGUAGCUAAUACCGCAUACUAUCGGAUGUGCCCAGAUGGGAUUAGCUAGUAGGUGGGGUAACGGCUCACCUAGGCGACGAUCCCUCGCUGGUCUGAGAGGGUGACCGGCCACACUGGAACUGAGACACGGACCAGACUCCUACGGGAGGCAGCAGUGGGGAAUAUUGCAAAAUGGGCGCAAGCCUGAUGGAGCAAUGCCGCGUGUAUGAAGAAGGCCUUCGGGUUGUAAAGUACUUUCAGCGGGGAGGCGUUACUCGCAGAGGAAGCACCGGCUAACUCCGUGCCAGCAGCCGCGGUAAUUC
rnacentral:rRNA from 1 species